rnacentral:rRNA from 1 species
UACGUAGGGUGCAAGCGUUGUCCGGAAUUACUGGGCGUAAAGCGCGCGCAGGCGGUCCUUCAAGUCAGAGGUGAAAGCCCAGAGCUCAACUCUGGAAUGGCCUUUGAGACUAGAGGACUUGGGUACGGGAGAGGUGAGUGGAAUUCCGAGUGUAGAGGUGAAAUUCGUAGAUAUUCGGAAGAACACCAGUGGCGAAGGCGGCUCACUGGCCCGUUACCGACGCUCAGGCGCGACAGCGUGGGGAGCAAACAGG